rnacentral:rRNA from 1 species
UGCCUAAUACAUGCAAGUCGAACGCCGUAGCAAUACGGAGUGGCAGACGGGUGAGUAACGCGUGGGAACAUACCCCUCGGUUCGGAAUAACUCAGGGAAACUUGAGCUAAUACCGGAUACGUCCGAGGUUUUAAUCGGCCUUGGAGAAAGAUUUAUCGCCGGAGGAUUGGCCCGCGUCUGAUUAGCUUGUUGGUGAGGUAAUGGCUCACCAAGGCGACGAUCAGUAGCUGGUCUGAGAGGAUGAUCAGCCACAUUGGGACUGAGACACGGCCCAAACUCCUACGGGAGGCAGCAGUGGGGAAUAUUGGACAAUGGGCGAAAGCCUGAUCCAGCCAUGCCGCGUGAGUGAUGAAGGCCUUAGGGUUGUAAAGCUCUUUUACCCGGGAAGAUAAUGACGGUACCGGGAGAAUAAGCCCCGGCUAACUUCGUGCCAGCAGCCGCGGUAAUACGUAGGGUGCAAGCGUUGUCCGGAAUUAUUGGGCGUAAAGAGCUCGUAGGCGGCCUGUCGCGUCGGCUGUGAAAACUCGGGGCUCAACUCCGAGCUUGCAGUCGAUACGGGCAGGCUAGAGUUCGGCAGGGGAGACUGGAAUUCCUGGUGUAGCGGUGAAAUGCGCAGAUAUCAGGAGGAACACCGGUGGCGAAGGCGGGUCUCUGGGCCGAUACUGACGCUGAGGAGCGAAAGCGUGGGGAGCGAACAGGAUUAGAUACCCUGGUAGUCCACGCUGUAAACGUUGGGCGCUAGGUGUGGGAUCCCUUCCACGGGUUCCGUGCCGCAGCUAACGCAUUAAGCGCCCCGCCUGGGGAGUACGGCCGCAAGGCUAAAACUCAAAGGAAUUGACGGGGGCCCGCACAAGCGGCGGAGCAUGUGGAUUAAUUCGAUGCAACGCGAAGAACCUUACCUGGGUUUGACAUACACUGGAAAGCCAUGGAGGCAUGGCCUCCGCAAGGCCGGUGUACAGGUGGUGCAUGGCUGUCGUCAGCUCGUGUCGUGAGAUGUUGGGUUAAGUCCCGCAACGAGCGCAACCCUUGUCUCAUGUUGCCAGCGGGUUAUGCCGGGGACUCAUGAGAGACUGCCGGGGUCAACUCGGGGGAAGGUGGGGACGACGUCAAGUCAUCAUGCCCCUUAUGUCCAGGGCUUCACACAUGCUACAAUGGCCGGUACAGAGGGCUGCUAAGCCGUGAGGUGGAGCGAAUCCCACAAAGCCGGUCUCAGUUCGGAUCGGGGUCUGCAACUCGACCCCGUGAAGUCGGAGUCGCUAGUAAUCGCAGAUCAGCAACGCUGCGGUGAAUACGUUCCCGGGCCUUGCACACACCGCCCGUCAC